rnacentral:lncRNA from 1 species
GGCAGUAGUGUGGCAGUAGUGUGGCAGUAGUGUGGCAGUAGUGUGGCAGUAGUGUGGCAGUAGUGUGGCAGUAGUGUGGCAGUACUGGUAGAGGUGUAGAGUAGCAGUUGAGGUGGUGGCGGUGGUAGCAAGCCAAUAGUAUUUGUGAUAUAUAUUGGUUGUUUUAAUAUUAAUAAUAUUACUCUAAAAAAAUAAAAUUUGCAGGAUAGUACAAAUACAAUAUAUAUGCAGCAGUAGCAGUUGAGGUAGUGAGGCGGUGGUGGCGAUGGUGGCGGUGGUGGCGAAGGUGGCGGUGGUAGCAAGCCAAUAGUAUUUGUGAUAUAUAAUGGUUGUUUUGAUAUUAAUAAUAUUGCUCUAAAAAAAUAAAAUUUGCAGGAUAGUACAAUAUAUAUGCAGCAGUAGCAGUUGAGGUAGUGAGGCGGUGGUGGCGAUGGUGGCGGUGGUGGCAAAGGUGGCGGUGGUAGCAAGCCAAUAGUAUUUGUGAUAUAUAAUGGUUGUUUUAAUAUUAAUAAUAUUACUCUAAAAAAAUAAAAUUUGCAGGAUAGUACAAAUACAAUAUAUAUGCAGCAGUAGCAGUUGAGGUAGUGAGGCGGUGGUGGCGGUGGUAGCAAGCCAAUAGUAUUUGUGAUAUAUAAUGGUGUUUUAAUAUUAAUAAUAUUACUCUAAAAAAAUAAAAUUUGCAGGAUAGUACAAAUACAAUAUAUAUGCAGCAGUAGCAGUUGAGGUAGUGAGGCGGUGGUGGCGAUGGUGGCGGUGGUGGCGAAGGUGGCGGUGGUAGCAAGCCAAUAGUAUUUGUGAUAUAUAAUGGUUGUUUUGAUAUUAAUAAUAUUGCUCUAAAAAAAUAAAAUUUGCAGGAUAGUACAAUAUAUAUGCAGCAGUAGCAGUUGAGGUAGUGAGGCGAUGGUGGCAGUGGUGGCGAAGGUGGCAGUGGUGGCGAAGGUGGCGGUGGUAGCAAGCCAAUAAUAUUUGUGAUAUAUAAUGGUUGUUUUGAUAUUAAUAAUAUUGCUCUAAAAAAAUAAAAUUUGCAGGAUAGUACAAGUGCAAUAUAUAUGCAGCAGUAGCAGUUGAGAUCGUGAGACAGCGGUGGCGAUGGUGGCAAUGGUAGUAUGGUGAAGGCAGGGCCAUUCCUAGCGCGAUAAUUGGGGUCGGGGGGGGGGGGGGGGGGGGGUAUAUUCAUAUAUUCGUGUUCUGCCAAGGCCUCGAAAUAAGUGCCAGUCACUGACCGGUAAAAAGCCACAGUUUGACCGGCAAAUCUUGUCGCCUGGCGGACAUACGUGACCAGUAAAUUUUUUAAUAAAAAAGUACAUUAAAAAAUGGAGCAGAUUUUAAUUUCCAAUUUUCCAAAGAAGCGUAUAUGUCCGUCUACAGUGCAGGCAAAUAAUGGCGGCGAAGUGACACAUUUUGUCAUACAUGCAGAUACGAUAUACCACAAGCAUUGUACCUAAGGGGCGGAUAAUUUGACUUUGGGGGGGGGGUUGGAAGAUUUCAAAAAAAAUAUUCCUGCAACCCAAGGAGAAAGAAAGAAAAAAUCAUGCAGCAUACAAUCGAGAAAAAAAAUAUCAUGCAAAAAGGGGCGCUCAAAAAAAUAUUCUUGCAUGUAAAUCUACUGAAGCUUUUCACUUCAGUAUUGUAUCCACAGGCUUGAAAGAUUUUGCAUUUUUGAGCAGCUAGCACAUUUGCUUAAAAGAACACUGGGUAAACAGUGGACAGCAUCACAGGGAUAGCCAGUCGGACAUUCCCUGGCAAAAUUGUUGCCCUUUCUAUAAUAAACAGAAAAAUACAUGGGCAUGGGCG